rnacentral:tRNA from 1 species
AAAAUUUUAAGUUAAAAAAACUAAUAACCUUCAAAGUUAUAAAUAUAAAUAUCAAUUUUAAAUUUUA